UACGGAUAAAUGUAACUGACUAUAAAUAAUUUCCAUACUUAUUGGUGGCAUAGUCAAGGUCUGCAAUACCUUUGUCACCGGUUCAAAUCCGAUUGCCGUAUCCA
rnacentral:tRNA from 2 species